GUUGCUUGGCUCCUCCUUCUUCCAUGGGAGGGCUGCUCCAGAGUUGAGACCAUUUUUGCUGAUGGAUUGCCUGGAGACAUGUUCACCAUCACUGCAAAAGGAAGCAGGGAGCCAAGGAGGUGGUGCAAACCUGUCAUCUCAGCUCUUGCAGAGUUGAGUUGGAAAACAACCUGGAAGAUAUUCUGGGCAAGAUCUUUCUGCUACAGUCUCCUUGCUGGGGUCAUGUCUUCAAGAAGAUGGAGCACCUUCAGAGGGGCUUGCCUCAGUAACUCCUACUUCAUACACCCUCUUGGAUUAUUUCAGAACCUUCUAUCUGGAUCUGUCCCGAUUUCAGUUUUGGAGAACCCCGGUUUCAUUGGUUGAUGUCACUCCAGGAAGUGUGAGACAUCUCCUUCAGCUCUUUCAUCCCCUCUGUGAUUGCCACUCCACCUGUCAGAACUGAAGAACAAGGCUUCUAGACUUUUGAACUUAACCUUUACAGCGUCACUCAAAUCCCCAGGGCAAAGCUGCGGCUGCUGCUGUCCUGACCCUCAGAAGAGCAGGUGACACUAGGCACAGCAUGAGCACCUGUUGAAGCCUCUCCAGGGAGGAAGAUGAUUGGAGAGGGAAGCUGAGCCAGGGGAGGCAGAGUAGGAUGCUGGCUCACAAGGUGCAAGCUGCAUCUCCUAACUCUUUGGGAAGAUGGGUUUCUAUGGGAGGUUCCAAGGGCAACCCAAGCGGACAAGACUCACCAGCUCUUUCUUUGUGCCCUCUCUUUUGAUAAUUUUGG